rnacentral:lncRNA from 1 species
CCGUGCUCCGGCAGGGAGGGAAGUGCCCUCUCCUCACCCAGAGCAGCCGGGGAGAGCACCGCUCAAGGGACCUGAGGGGCAGACACGGCUGCUGGCACGGGCAGCGCAGGAGCCCUGGGCCACUGCUGAGGAAGCCUGCACGGUGCCGUGGCCGUGGCCCCAAGUGCCUGCUUUUGUCUAAGAAGGUACUAGAAGGGAGAGGGACACACGGCCUUGGCCACAGCUGGCCUCACACUGAGCCACGGCAGGGCGCGUCUCACCCAACUCCUGCUCCUCUCUUGCUGCCUCUUCCCUUCGGGGAGAGCCUGGGACGUCUGAAGUGUGGGGCCUGGAGAGGGGCCAUGUGCACCUGUAGCUUCUUACCUGGGCAGCACCUCUCUCCUUGGUGCCUGGCCAGGCAGCGCUGUCCAUGGUGCUGAAACCCUAGCCAACACAGAUUCAGGGUGGUCUGUGCAUUCCUUGCCCAUGGCCAGUUUGGACCCCAGAGCAAAGGCACACUCAGUGCUGCCCCCUGCUGGGCAGCUGUGUGUCCAACAUGGCAUUGGCUACAGGGAGCCCAUCUGUGCCCACAGACCAGGUAGGUCCUGCUCUGGCCCCUCCAUCCAGGGCUCCACCGAAACUCAGCACAUUGUCCUCUCCCCAUCGCACCUGGCAGAAGAUGAACUCAUACUAAAUGCCUUCAUUGGUCCUCAGAAGUGGCUAAGCCCAAAGAUGGGCUUCAGGCUCCACUGGACCCUCCCCGUUGAGUUCUGCUCUUGGGCGUCUUCCCUGGGUAGGGCCUCUCCAGGGCUAUGCAAGUCUUUGGGGUCCAUGUUCUGGGUGAGAUGGCCCUUCCCUGGGGUCUAGACUGCAGGGGAGGCUGGUUGAGCUUGGAGGGUGGCAGCAGGAGGAGGGGGCUGCAGCUGACCACAGGAUGGUGAGGAGGGGC